AUACUUACCUGGUACAGGGGCUACCGUGAUCAGGAACCGGCGGUGCCCCCAGGUCGAGGCCUAACCAUUGCACUCCGGUCGGGCUGAACCCUGCGAUAAUCCCAAAUGCGGAUUACUCGGGUACGCUAUUUUUUAGUGUGGGGGUCUGCGUUCGCGCUAACCCCUG